rnacentral:rRNA from 1 species
GGCUCAGGAUGAACGCUGGCGGUAUGCUUAACACAUGCAAGUCGAACGAAAUCUUCGGAUUUAGUGGCGGACGGGUGAGUAACGCGUGAGAAUCUGGCUUCAGGUCUGGGACAACCACUGGAAACGGUGGCUAAUACCGGAUGUGCCGAGAGGUGAAAGGUUAACUGCCUGAAGAUGAGCUCGCGUCUGAUUAGCUAGUUGGAAGUGUAAUGGACUCCCAAGGCGACGAUCAGUAGCUGGUCUGAGAGGACGAUCAGCCACACUGGGACUGAGACACGGCCCAGACUCCUACGGGAGGCAGCAGUGGGGAAUUUUCCGCAAUGGGCGAAAGCCUGACGGAGCAAUACCGCGUGAGGGAGGAAGGCUCUUGGGUCGUAAACCUCUUUUCUCAGGGAAGAACACAAUGACGGUACCUGAGGAAUAAGCAUCGGCUAACUCCGUGCCAGCAGCCGCGGUAAUACGGAGGAUGCAAGCGUUAUCCGGAAUGAUUGGGCGUAAAGCGUCCGCAGGUGGCGAUGUAAGUCUGCUGUUAAAGAGUCUAGCUCAACUAGAUAAGAGCAGUGGAAACUACAUAGCUAGAGUACGUUCGGGGCAGAGGGAAUUCCUGGUGUAGCGGUGAAAUGCGUAGAGAUCAGGAAGAACACCAGUGGCGAAGGCGCUCUGCUAGGCCGUAACUGACACUGAGGGACGAAAGCUAGGGGAGCGAAUGGGAUUAGAUACCCCAGUAGUCCUAGCCGUAAACGA